CCGGAAGGUGCGGCUGGAUCACCCCCUUUCUA
rnacentral:rRNA from 1 species